UCAAAAACAAAUCGUCGAUAAUGCUCAAACUAAGGUUCUGAUGGCAGCCGAUUCCAAAACCUAGGUCAGACCUUAAAACCCCUAAAAAUAUUUCAAUUUUCUCUCCUCUUAAAUUCCAGUUAUUAAUCAGUCGGUUGUUGUCAGCCGUUACCAAUUUACCAUAGACAGUUUUCAUAAACCUUAGUAUUAAUCAGUCGGUUGUUGUCUUGUAAGGAUUUGGCGACUCAACGACGAUGGCAAUAAGCCACUACGAUAGCGGCACCAACACCACCAUAGCGACGACACAACUAUUUGAUACUCUUGCAAUAAGGACCAACAUAAGUUGGUGAGUGAGCAUGUGUGGUAUGUGUACAAGAUAGGCAGAGGCAUGCCGAUGUGUGUACAAGAUACUAUGACGGCAAGAAACUUAAUGGGUGUGUGUAUGUGUGAGGCUUGCAGGGGCAGCAGAAACAACCAUCAGUUGUUCGACUAACCAUGUGUGCGCGGGCAGAGGUACCAUUAUGCGAGAUUGUGCGGGUCUAUAAGGGUGUGAGUGAAAGACUAAUAUAGGUUGUGCUCACAGAGCAUGCCAGAGUCAGAUCUCUUUCCGCAUCCGUAAAGAUUAAUAUGUCAAAGUAAAUUUAUACCCUUUUAUAUUUUCCCUGUUAAUAAUUUUAUUUAGGGAUUGAUUGA